rnacentral:misc_RNA from 1 species
CGCACCUUGCGCUCCUUGGUAUUCCGAGGAGCAUGCCUGUUUGAGUGUCAUUAAAUUCUCAACCAUUCAAGUUUUUACUAGCUUGUAUGGCUUGGAUCAUGGGGUUUGCGGGCUUUCACAAGUCGGCUAUCCUUAAAUGCAUUAGCAGAGCUUUUGCUGCUAACUAUUAGUGUGAUAAUUAUCAACGCUAUUAGUAAGUUGCAUGAAUAGAGCUUCGCUUCUAAUCGUCUUCACAGACAAUUUUGACAAUCUGACCUCAAAUCAGGUAGGACUACCCGCUGAACUUAA